UAAUUUUGACCUCGUCUAGAGCAAGAGUACCCGCUGAACUUAAGCAUAUCAAUAAGCGGAGGAAAAGAAACCAACAGGGAUUGCCUUAGUAGCGGCGAGUGAAGCGGCAAAAGCUCAAAUUUGAAAUCUGCCUCACGGCCGAGUUGUAAUUUGUAGAUGGUAACUCUGUGGCAAGCCUUUGCUCAAGUUUUCUGGAAAGAAACAUCAUGGAGGGUGAUAAUCCCGUGAGGCAUUGGUGCAGCUACGUGUAGAGUGCUAUCAAAGAGUCGAGUUGUUUGGGAAUGCAGCUCAAAGUGGGUGGUAGACACCAUCUAAAGCUAAAUAUUGGCGAGAGACCGAUAGCGAACAAGUACUGUGAAGGAAAGAUGAAAAGCACUUUGAAAAGAGAGUGAAAAAGUACGUGAAAUUAUUGAUACAGAAGGGUAUAAAAUUGGACUCAAGGUCUAGGUUCGGUAGCCUCUCGGGGUUGCUUUGUCCUAGGCCCUAAACCAGCAUCAGUUUUGGCAGGUGGAUAAACAACAUGGAAUGUAGCUGCUUGCAGUGUUAUAGACUUGUUGCAUACACCUUGCUGGGACUGAGGACCGCCUUUGUAGGAUGCUGGGGUAACGAUUUUAUACCACCCG
rnacentral:rRNA from 1 species